UCCUUUUACUGUAAAUUUUUUUUCUUUUUUUUUUUUUAUAUUUGAACAUGCAAGUGAAAUCUGUGAUUUAUUAGUGGUUGAAUUUGUAGUAGAUGUCAAAAAAUAAACUCCAGUUAUUCGUCAGUAUUUGAUUUAUAAUCUCUGUAAAGUCUGAAGAAUUUUCCUCUAUUUGUGAUUUUUUUUAAUUUUAAUUUGAUCAUGCAAUUGAAAUAAUCUAUGAUUUAUAUUGAUGAAUUUAUAGUAGAUGUUGAAAAACAAUCUUCUUUUCUGUCAGUAAUUAUCUGAUUUCAUGAUCUUUAUAAUGUAUGGUAUGCUCUAUUAUCACUGCAACAUUUUAUUUACCUCUUUAACUCGAACAUGCAAGUGAAAUUGGAGAUGAUGCAGCUAAGCUGAAAAAAAAUAUAGAAUAGAACAAAAUUUUUUGAUUAAUAUAAGAUUUGAAGCUGUAUAAUGAUGUUAUGGUAUUUUCUUGUUUCUUUAAUCUUGUUUUUAUGCUUGCAUGUCAUAUAAUAAGUCGUGUCUACUAAUAUCUCAGCCAGGUAUGAUGACCUUCUGAACUUUUGGUGUUGUUUCCUUUUUGAGCUUGUAAACUACUAUCCAAUGGUUAUAGGUUCAAUGAAGCCCGGGCUUGUGCAAAAGCAACCCUGUCAUUAUUUGCUUCUGUCAUAAUGUUCUUGAAGUAUUUCCCCAUUUAGUCUUCUCAAUCUUGUCUUUAAAUGCUUCAACUUCUUUACCACAAUGAAAAUUUUAUAUCCCUUAAUGUCAUGCCUCCAUUAUUCUUCUACAAUGUCUAAGAAGUGUAGAUGGCAUGUCCACCCAUUGCAAAAACUUGUAAGCAGAUCUAAGCCUUCUUGGUCCAUCCAAUAUAGUCACUUUGUGUCAAUUUGAUUGUAAUUUUUAAUUUGUCAUUAUAACUAUGGUUAAAUGGUAAACAUAUCUUUACCAUCUAGUAGAAUCAAGUUUGAUUCCUUCUAUUGGCCAAGAGUUAUUUAUCUACUUCUAAAUUGUAAAUAGCAUUAUGUACCUCCUUAAACUACGUUGCUAGCCAAUUAUUUUACUUUUUUUUUCCUCUUGAAGAUAUUGUUCUCAUUACUUUUUGGAAGUUGACAGGCUUGCCUGAUAAAGUGUUGACCCGUGGAUAUUUUGUUACAGUCCUUGAUCUCAGCCACAGCUCAAUACAAUAUCUUCCUGCCAUAAUUGAUAGCUUGAGUUCUCUUCAGUGUUCAGCUUACCAGAAACGAUUCUCAAUGGAAAUGAAAUUAUGGAUAAUUCAUUAAGCUGGGAAGAGCUAGCUUCUCUAAAGAUUCUUGUGUUUAUUUCACUGAACGAAAAUCAGUAAGUAGCAGUUAUUCCUCAGAUAUUUCCUUCAUCAGCAUACUACUCUCUGAGUUGAAUGAGAUUCGCCAAAUUGUUGCAUCACUCUAUCAAAUUGAAGUUCACACAUUCUUUUCUGCACCAUUAACUGAUGAGUACACCAAACAUGUAGGUACAUUUGAGUGUGAUGGAUGCAGUGUCAUAGUUAUAAUUUAGGGGAUUAUUUUGGUAAAAUUAUAAUAUGAAAACUGAAGUAUAUCAGUGGGUAGUAUAAAGCAAUGUAUCCUUCAUUCAGAAAAUUCAUGGUAUUAAAUUUUUUGAUCAAUGACAUUCAGAUGUUGUUGCGUGUUAUAAUUUUAUUUUCUAAUACCGCUUACUUUGUUUACCAACCUCAACCAUUUAUCAUAUGCCAUUAUUUCUAAUAAAGAUUUCUUAUAUGGUUGCAUUAACUAAUCUUCUUCUUGGUAUGUAGCAUAGCAACAUUGCCCAAGAGAAAUCGGCACUUUGACCUGUUUGUCUAAGACAACAUCAUAUUGCACUUAACUAUUUAACAAGUUUUCUAUUUGAGAUAGGUGUGCUUCUCUUAUUGAGGUAAUGAAAUGGGUCUUAUUGCCCAUUUAGUAACUGGACUAAAGGAAUCCAAAAUCAUCCUAUCAUUGUUCUGAUUAGAAGGGUUAAGAAUUCAAAAACUAAACGUGAGUUGACUGAUUAAUGGUAAGAACUAUUUCUUGGUAAAAUUUAGCCAGAUUUGCUAGAGAACUAGGAUAUAAUGUGUGUAAUUAAAACUUGGACAAAUUUACGAUAACAGAUUGUAGAGUAUAUAUUCACUUGUAGUUCAGAUUAUGUGUGUCUGUUAAUAGAAGAUACAACUGUUUAAACUAAAGCAAAAAUGUGAACACUCUUACACAAUACAUUGAUAUGUAACUUUAGCCAGUGAAAGGAUGGAGAUUUAUCCCAUUAAUGGUGAAUGAAUUAUAGUGUAUUCGUAUUCAAUUACUUCAUAAUCUUAGAUCAUAUGUGUGUGAAGUAUGCAGAUUCAAGGAUAAAUUUUUUCCGAGUACCGUGUUGCCAUGUCUAUUCUUGUAGGUGCUAAUAUCUCAUUUGCACAUUUAGUGUUUGAGUUUUAAAUUGUUGAAUGUAAAUAAGACUUCAAGGUUAAACUACAAAAAUGUUUCGAUCACAUUGUCUAUUAUUUCAAUUUGAUUUUUGUGGUCAAUUUUUUCUAUUUAUCGAAAAUACUGGUUAUCUAGAUAAUUUCAUUUUUGCUACAUGUCCAGCCUGAUGUGUAACUCUUCUUGCCUACUAAUGAUACUUCUUUCUUCUUUACCAUUGAUUAUAUCAUACUGUUAUCUUUUUAGUCAAUAGUAGAAUAUGGGUCGGCAAUUCUGGAGUACUUCAUAUUUUCGUCAAGUAUAGCUGACUACUUGAAGAAAGUAUCACUUGUCAUCGGUUUAGCAGGUAUAUUGCGGAUGGCGAUUAAUUCAACUUAAACCUUCCAUGAUGGCUGAAACACAAGUAUCUAUGUAUUUUAGGUGCCCUUUCUGGUUUGAUAUGUUAAAAGAAAGAAAAACCUGAUAUUCUAUCAAAAAAAAAAACCUACAUCUUAUACUUUUCUUAGAGGAAAUUCUGCAUAAGUUAAUUCUCUUGCUUCUUUAUUUGACUUAUUUGCCUCAAACCAACUUAAAAAUUGUGAUUCUCUUACACUUGGUUUAUUGCCUGGGGACUUUACCUCGAGAGGUAUACGAUCGAACUGUAACAGAAACAUGCUCUUAUUUAUAAAUUAAAUUAUCUUGCUGUACUUAUGUUGCUGGUUGUAUUGAUAGAAAUGGGAGCAGUUUUCAUGAUUGACUUUGUUAUUUAUAAACUGUAAAGAGAACAUAUAACUAUAAGAAAGCAACAUUCACUUAAGCCAUAAUAUAUGAAAGCAUGCUGUAAUAAGGAAGAUUGUGAAGUUUAACGAUGUCAGUAAGAUAUGUUCGUUUAAAAAAUGUAUAAAAAUGUAGAACUUAGAAGAUUUUUGUUGGCUCCUUAGAUGGCUUCUUGACAUCACUUUAAUUUUAUUACCCCUUAGGGUGGGAUGUAUACAGACCUUACUCCUAUAUUUAUGUUGUAGAGAAAAUGUUUCUGAUAGUUACUAUAUACUCGUAUAUUGAAUGAAGUAAGAAUGGGAUGGUUUAUGUAGUAGUAUUGAACAUGCUCAACCUCAACUCACUUCACCUGAUUGCAUCACAAAUCAUCGUUGUACAUGGUUCUUGGAGCAAUAUGUUUUUAAAAUUAUAUUUGUUAUCCUUCUAGAAUGUGGAUAAUCAUGAAGAUGAAAAAAGGAAACUCUUGUUUUUUUUAUACUUCUUAACUGCUGAAAUUGUUCAUGUUGUGGAAUUUCCUACUUUUUUGUUUUUGCUAUUUGAAAUUUUGAUCAGUUAAGCUGGUAACAAAAUUUAAACAAUAAAAAAUCCUUUGCUUGCUUCCUUUCCCUUUAUAGCAAUCUAAUAAAGGCUGCUAGUCCCGGCAUUUUACAUACGGGUAAGAGGUAAUGAUGCCUAUUGCUCUAGGUGAAGAACCACUUGAUUUAAUUGUAUUUCCAUCUUGAGAGCUUGCAAGAAACUGAGGCCUUUGAUGUGUGUUGAUGGAGUUGAUAUGAAGCCCCUAAUUGAAGUUGUAAAUAAGGGAGUGUACAUUGUCGUUGCUAAACUUGGAAGGCUCAAAUAUAUGCUAGCAAAGAAAUUGAUGAACCUUGAAAAUUGCAGUGAAUUGUUCAAGAAAGGAUACACAACAAAAAUGAUUCAAAUGGGUUGUGGAUUAUAUAACCAUACCAGGUAUAUGCAGUUUGUGGUAAGGAUUAAAAGUACUGAAGUCGAUUAAGAGGAAAUCAUUGGUUACAUUAACAUUUGAAGGUUUCUAUAGAAAGUAAGGGUUGUAAGAGUUGUAGUGGUAUAUGAAGGAAUCAUCGGUUACAACAGAAGAUGAAUUGAAUUUAUAGAUGUAGGGGAAGAAAAAGAAGGGCAGUUAACAAUUGAGGAUAAGAAAAACGGCAGUUGUAAAAUACGUAGGAUACCAUUGUGCAGUAGAUAAGUGGAUAAAUAAGAUGCUGAUAAAAGUGUUGUAAUAUACUUUGGUAUCUAAUUGAAAUAAAAGAGUUAACUCUAUAAUUUUCUUUUA